rnacentral:rRNA from 1 species
GCAGUUAAAAAGCUCGUAGUUGGAUCUCGGUGAUACUGAAGCCAACCGCUGCUUAGUUGGUUGAGUCUGGCUGCACCUAGCGUGUACGUCGGAUUUGCCGGCUGUGUUAGUGGUGUGGAAGCGGUGUUACCUUUCAGCCAUGUCUGUGGUGCAAUACCCACAGGUGUAAGCAAGUGUCAGGCGGUGCUGUGCUUUCGGUAUGGUCCGUCGGCUCGUUUGCAUGCCUGCGGAUGCCCUUCAAAAGGUGUCUGUUGGCGGAUGGCACGUUUACUUUGAACAAAUUUGAGUGCUCAAACCAGGCCAAUGUUGCCUGAAAAGUUUUGCAUGGAAUAAUGGAAUAGGACUUCGGUUCUAUUUUGUUGGUUUUCGGAUCCGAAGUAAUGAUCAAAAGAGACAGGCGGGGACGUUUGUAUGGUUGCGCUAGAGGUGAAAUUCAUGGACCGUAGCCAGACAAACUAAAGCGAAAGCAUUCGUCAAGCAUGUUUUCAUUGACCAUGAGCGAAAGUCAGAGGCUCGAAGACGAUCAGAUACCGUCCUAGUUCUGACCAUAAACGAUGCCAACUGACGAUCCGUGGUGGUAGUAAAUUAACCUUCCCCACGGGCAGUCACCGGGAAACCUUUAAGUCUUUGGGUUCCGGGGGAAGUAUGGUUGCAAAGCUGAAACUUAAAGGAAUUGACGGAAGGGCACCACCAGGAGUGGAGCCUGCGGCUUAAUUUGACUCAACACGGGAAAACUCACCCGGGCCGGACACUGUAAGGAUUGACAGAUUGAUAGCUCUUUCUUGAUUCGGUGGUUGGUGGUGCAUGGCCGUUCUUAGUUGGUGGAGCGAUUUGUCUGGUUAAUUCCGAUAACGAACGAGACUCUAGCCUGCUAAUUAGUGCACUUGUCCACUGUUCCUGUGUAAGUGGCGUUUCGGCGAUGUUGCCCAUGUUAUCUGCUGCAGUUGUCCCCCUGUGUCCUCGGAUGCGGGUGGCGGCUGUAGUGGUUUGGGCGGCGGGUUCGGCGUUUGCUUCCGGGUACGG